GUUUGAAUGCAUGACCUCCAACAUAUGCAUCUUUAGCAAAAAUUCAAGGAAAAAAAAUCAAGAUAAAGCUAACAAGAUACAGAUGUCAGUAUUUGAAUGCAUACAACUCUGAGAAUUUUCUGUUACAAAAGAAGAACAAAAAUCACUUUAACAAGGAAAAGAACUUCACACAAUCUUCUUCUCAUCACCUAAUACACAGCGACGUUGGAUCAACAAACGACUACAACACUUUACCGCGGCUUCAGUUGCCUCUCUUGGAAUAUCUUCCCCAGCUUCAUAUACAAAACUUUCUGCUCCUCCAAAGUAAGGCUCCCCAAUAUCUGGUCCAACACCUUCUCAACUGUAUAGUCUUGCGGAAAAACAAACGACUGAUGAUAGAUGUAGGCAAAA
rnacentral:misc_RNA from 1 species